CCAUACAUACGCCGGCAAUAUCCACCGUCCAAGAAAAACAAACGACAAACUUUAAUAUUGUUUCUCGAUGCAAACCCGAAAUUGAAAUAGGUUUGUCAAUAUUUUCAACGAAUUCUUCCUCCGCAAAUAAAUAGGUUCGACGGAUCUGCUUCAAUUGGUUUCACAAUGCAAUGCCUUUAAUGCUAAUUCCUCAUCUCCUAAUAUAUAAUCAGAUAAUCAGAUUAUCAUCAAUGUCAAAUGUUAAGUUUUCCAGUGACAAUAAGAGCCAAUAUCAAUCUCUUUCUCAGGUCAAUUUGUAUUUACAACGCCCUCUAUUUACUCAUGGCCAGUUCUAUGUGACACUACAAUUGUUGCCUAUAGUGAGAUUUUCAACGACUUAUAAACAUCCUACACGGAUAAUACAUUGCCCUAUGCUAUUGCUUGACACUUGAAUGUCGUACAAAAGUUCAUCAGUUGGCUUCGAACAACAUCUAUAUCCUGUUGGAACUGGAUCAUUAUAUUACGAAGGAUAAGCUGAUAUAGUUUUGCAAUAUGUGUUUUGUUUAAAUUAUUAUGAUUUUCCUCCAAAAUUUCAGACCUUAUAGCAGGGGGAAGAGUUGUUUGGAAAAUAAUGAACUGAAGGUUGUUCUUGGUGCUGGAAGAUAUAUGCUAAUGGCUCCUUUUAGUUAUUCCAUUUGACUUUGUUUAUUAUGCUAUUUAUCUAAAUUCCUUUAAAGCUUUAGUAAAGAGAGCCAAAUCUACCUCUUGAAAAAUUUUGAAAAUUCUAAAAUACAUGUGUAUUUAUAUAGCA